rnacentral:rRNA from 1 species
GACGAACGCUGGCGGCGUGCCUAAUACAUGCAAGUUGAGCGAUGAAGCUUGGUGCUUGCCCCAAUUUGAAGAGCAGCGAACGGGUGAGUAACGCGUGGGGAAUCUGCCUUUGAGCGGGGGACAACAUUUGGAGACGAAUGCUAAUACCGCAUAACAACUUUAAACAUAAGUUUUAAGUUUGAAAGAUGCAAUUGCAUCACUCAAAGAUGAUCCCGCGUUGUAUUAGCUAGUUGGUGAGGUAAAGGCUCACCAAGGGGAUGAUACAUAGCCGACCUGAGAGGGUGAUCGGCCACAUUGGGACUGAGACACGCCCCAAACUCCUACGGGAGGCAGCAGUAGGGAAUCUUCGGCAAUGGACGAAAGUCUGACCGAGCAACGCCGCGUGAGUGAAGAAGGUUUUCGGAUCGUAAAACUCUGUUGGUAGAGAAGAACGUUGGUGAGAGUGGAAAGCUCAUCAAGUGACGGUAACUACCCAGAAAGGGACGGCUAACUACGUG